GGGGUUGUAGCUCAGCAGUAGAGCGCUCAUUUAGCAAGUGUGAGGCCCUGGGCUCAAUCCUCAGCACCA
rnacentral:tRNA from 1 species